rnacentral:rRNA from 1 species
UACGUAGGGUGCAAGCGUUGUCCGGAAUUAUUGGGCGUAAAGAGCUCGUAGGCGGUUUGUCGCGUCUGCUGUGAAAACUCGAGGCUCAACCUCGAGACGUCGGUUGAAACCGUAUGGCUAGAGUCCGGAAGAGGAGAGUGGAAUUCCCGGUGUAGCGGUGAAAUGCGCAGAUAUCAGGAGGAACACCGGUGGCGAAGGCGGGUCUCUGGGCCGUAACUGACGCUGAGGAGCGAAAGCGUGGGGAGCGAACAGG